UGUACACACCGCCCGUCACCACCACGAGAGUUUGUAACACCCGAAGUCGGUGAGGUAACCGUAAGGAGCCAGCCGCCUAAGGUGGGAUAGAUGAUUGGGGUGAAGUCGUAACAAGGUAGCCGUAUCGGAAGGUGCGGCUGGAUCACCUCCUUUCUAAGGAG
rnacentral:rRNA from 1 species